rnacentral:rRNA from 1 species
GACGAACGCUGGCGGCGUGCCUAAUACAUGCAAGUAGAACGCUGAAGAGAGGAGCUCACUCUUCUUGGAUGAGUUGCGAACGGGUGAGUAACGCGUAGGUAACCUGCCUUGUAGCGGGGGAUAACUAUUGGAAACGAUAGCUAAUACCGCAUAACAAUGGAUGACACAUGUCAUUUAUUUGAAAGGGGCAAUUGCUCCACUACAAGAAGGACCUGCGUUGUAUUAGCUAGUAGGUGAGGUAAUGGCUCACCUAGGCGACGAUACAUAGCCGACCUGAGAGGGUGAUCGGCCACACUGGGACUGAGACACGGCCCAGACUCCUACGGGAGGCAGCAGUAGGGAAUCUUCGGCAAUGGGGGCAACCCUGACCGAGCAACGCCGCGUGAGUGAAGAAGGUUUUCGGAUCGUAAAGCUCUGUUGUAAGUCAAGAACGGGUGUGAGAGUGGAAAGUUCACACUGUGACGGUAGCUUACCAGAAAGGGACGGCUAACUACGUG